rnacentral:rRNA from 1 species
AACGAACGCUGGCGGCAUGCCUAACACAUGCAAGUCGAACGAGACCUUCGGGUCUAGUGGCGCACGGGUGCGUAACGCGUGGGAAUCUGCCCUUGGGUUCGGAAUAACUUCGGGAAACUGAAGCUAAUACCGGAUGAUGACGUAAGUCCAAAGAUUUAUCGCCCAAGGAUGAGACCGCGUAGGAUUAGCUAGUUGGUGAGGUAAAGGCUCACCAAGGCGACGAUCCUUAGCUGGUCUGAGAGGAUGAUCAGCCACACUGGGACUGAGACACGGCCCAGACUCCUACGGGAGGCAGCAGUGGGGAAUAUUGGACAAUGGGCGAAAGCCUGAUCCAGCAAUGCCGCGUGAGUGAUGAAGGCCUUAGGGUUGUAAAGCUCUUUUACCCGGGAUGAUAAUGACAGUACCGGGAGAAUAAGCUCCGGCUAACUCCGUGCCAGCCGCCGCGGUAA